CACGUAGGGCGCAAGCGUUGUCCGGAAUUAUUGGGCGUAAAGAGCUCGUAGGCGGUCUGUCGCGUCUGCUGUGAAAACUCGGGGCUUAACUCCGGGCCUGCAGUGGGUACGGGCAGACUAGAGUGCGGUAGGGGAGACUGGAAUUCCUGGUGUAGCGGUGAAAUGCGCAGAUAUCAGGAGGAACACCGGUGGCGAAGGCGGGUCUCUGGACAGUUCCUGACGCUGAGGCGCGAAGGCCAGGGGAGCAAACGGG
rnacentral:rRNA from 1 species